AAUUCUCAACUUCAAAGCUUUCUUAUGAAAAUUUUGAAGGUUGGAUGUGGGGGCUUGCUGGCGUCUUUAGAUGUUCGGCUCUCCUUAAAGUUAUUAGUGGGAAUGUCUUUUGUUAGGCGAUCCUUGGUGUGAUAAUUAUCUACACUUUGGAUAGUUUAAUGGUUCCAUUGAGGCUAUUAGUAUUGCGAUUAAGUUUGCUUUACUUGGGUCUCAGAGGAAAAGAUAAGUCUUGCUUUCUAACCGUCUGUGUAACAUGGACAAUUUAUUGACU
rnacentral:misc_RNA from 1 species